rnacentral:rRNA from 1 species
UAACGCGAAGAACCUUACCAGGUCUUGACAUCUUUUGCUAACCUAAGAGAUUAGGCGUUCCCUUCGGGGACGGAAUGACAGGUGGUGCAUGGUUGUCGUCAGCUCGUGUCGUGAGAUGUUGGGUUAAGUCCCGCAACGAGCGCAACCCUUAUUGUCAGUUGCCAGCAUUUAGUUGGGCACUCUGGCGAGACUGCCGGUGACAAACCGGAGGAAGGUGGGGAUGACGUCAAAUCAUCAUGCCCCUUAUGACCUGGGCUACACACGUGCUACAAUGGACGGUACAACGAGUCGCGAAACCGCGAGGUCAAGCUAAUCUCUUAAAGCCGUUCUCAGUUCGGAUUGUAGGCUGCAACUCGCCUACAUGAAGUUGGAAUCGCUAGUAAUCGUGGAUCAGC